GGUUAAGCGACUAAGCGUACACGGUGGAUGCCCUGGCAGUCAGAGGCGAUGAAGGACGUGCUAAUCUGCGAUAAGCGUCGGUAAGGUGAUAUGAACCGUUAUAACCGGCGAUUUCCGAAUGGGGAAACCCAGUGUGAUUCGUCACACUAUCAUUAACUGAAUCCAUAGGUUAAUGAGGCGAACCGGGGGAACUGAAACAUCUAAGUACCCCGAGGAAAAGAAAUCAACCGAGAUUCCCCCAGUAGCGGCGAGCGAACGGGGAGCAGCCCAGAGCCUGAAUCAGUGUGUGUGUUAGUGGAAGCGUCUGGAAAGGCGUGCGAUACAGGGUGACAGCCCCGUACACAAAAAUGCACAUGCUGUGAGCUCGAUGAGUAGGGCGGGACACGUGGUAUCCUGUCUGAAUAUGGGGGGACCAUCCUCCAAGGCUAAAUACUCCUGACUGACCGAUAGUGAACCAGUACCGUGAGGGAAAGGCGAAAAGAACCCCGGCGAGGGGAGUGAAAAAGAACCUGAAACCGUGUACGUACAAGCAGUGGGAGCACAGAGCAAUCUGUGUGACUGCGUACCUUUUGUAUAAUGGGUCAGCGACUUAUAUUCUGUAGCAAGGUUAACCGAAUAGGGGAGCCGAAGGGAAACCGAGUCUUAACUGGGCGUUAAGUUGCAGGGUAUAGACCCGAAACCCGGUGAUCUAGCCAUGGGCAGGUUGAAGGUUGGGUAACACUAACUGGAGGACCGAACCGACUAAUGUUGAAAAAUUAGCGGAUGACUUGUGGCUGGGGGUGAAAGGCCAAUCAAACCGGGAGAUAGCUGGUUCUCCCCGAAAGCUAUUUAGGUAGCGCCUCGUGAAUUCAUCUCCGGGGGUAGAGCACUGUUUCGGCAAGGGGGUCAUCCCGACUUACCAACCCGAUGCAAACUGCGAAUACCGGAGAAUGUUAUCACGGGAGACACACGGCGGGUGCUAACGUCCGUCGUGAAGAGGGAAACAACCCAGACCGCCAGCUAAGGUCCCAAAGUCAUGGUUAAGUGGGAAACGAUGUGGGAAGGCCCAGACAGCCAGGAUGUUGGCUUAGAAGCAGCCAUCAUUUAAAGAAAGCGUAAUAGCUCACUGGUCGAGUCGGCCUGCGCGGAAGAUGUAACGGGGCUAAACCAUGCACCGAAGCUGCGGCAGCGACGCUUAUGCGUUGUUGGGUAGGGGAGCGUUCUGUAAGCCUGUGAAGGUGUACUGUGAGGUAUGCUGGAGGUAUCAGAAGUGCGAAUGCUGACAUAAGUAACGAUAAAGCGGGUGAAAAGCCCGCUCGCCGGAAGACCAAGGGUUCCUGUCCAACGUUAAUCGGGGCAGGGUGAGUCGACCCCUAAGGCGAGGCCGAAAGGCGUAGUCGAUGGGAAACAGGUUAAUAUUCCUGUACUUGGUGUUACUGCGAAGGGGGGACGGAGAAGGCUAUGUUGGCCGGGCGACGGUUGUCCCGGUUUAAGCGUGUAGGCUGGUUUUCCAGGCAAAUCCGGAAAAUCAAGGCUGAGGCGUGAUGACGAGGCACUACGGUGCUGAAGCAACAAAUGCCCUGCUUCCAGGAAAAGCCUCUAAGCAUCAGGUAACAUCAAAUCGUACCCCAAACCGACACAGGUGGUCAGGUAGAGAAUACCAAGGCGCUUGAGAGAACUCGGGUGAAGGAACUAGGCAAAAUGGUGCCGUAACUUCGGGAGAAGGCACGCUGAUAUGUAGGUGAAGUCCCUCGCGGAUGGAGCUGAAAUCAGUCGAAGAUACCAGCUGGCUGCAACUGUUUAUUAAAAACACAGCACUGUGCAAACACGAAAGUGGACGUAUACGGUGUGACGCCUGCCCGGUGCCGGAAGGUUAAUUGAUGGGGUCAGCGCAAGCGAAGCUCUUGAUCGAAGCCCCGGUAAACGGCGGCCGUAACUAUAACGGUCCUAAGGUAGCGAAAUUCCUUGUCGGGUAAGUUCCGACCUGCACGAAUGGCGUAAUGAUGGCCAGGCUGUCUCCACCCGAGACUCAGUGAAAUUGAACUCGCUGUGAAGAUGCAGUGUACCCGCGGCAAGACGGAAAGACCCCGUGAACCUUUACUAUAGCUUGACACUGAACAUUGAGCCUUGAUGUGUAGGAUAGGUGGGAGGCUUGGAAGUGUGGACGCCAGUCUGCAUGGAGCCGACCUUGAAAUACCACCCUUUAAUGUUUGAUGUUCUAACGUUGACCCGUAAUCCGGGUUGCGGACAGUGUCUGGUGGGUAGUUUGACUGGGGCGGUCUCCUCCUAAAGAGUAACGGAGGAGCACGAAGGUUGGCUAAUCCUGGUCGGACAUCAGGAGGUUAGUGCAAUGGCAUAAGCCAGCUUGACUGCGAGCGUGACGGCGCGAGCAGGUGCGAAAGCAGGUCAUAGUGAUCCGGUGGUUCUGAAUGGAAGGGCCAUCGCUCAACGGAUAAAAGGUACUCCGGGGAUAACAGGCUGAUACCGCCCAAGAGUUCAUAUCGACGGCGGUGUUUGGCACCUCGAUGUCGGCUCAUCACAUCCUGGGGCUGAAGUAGGUCCCAAGGGUAUGGCUGUUCGCCAUUUAAAGUGGUACGCGAGCUGGGUUUAGAACGUCGUGAGACAGUUCGGUCCCUAUCUGCCGUGGGCGCUGGAGAACUGAGGGGGGCUGCUCCUAGUACGAGAGGACCGGAGUGGACGCAUCACUGGUGUUCGGGUUGUCAUGCCAAUGGCACUGCCCGGUAGCUAAAUGCGGAAGAGAUAAGUGCUGAAAGCAUCUAAGCACGAAACUUGCCCCGAGAUGAGUUCUCCCUGACUCCUUGAGAGUCCUGAAGGAACGUUGAAGACGACGACGUUGAUAGGCCGGGUGUGUAAGCGCAGCGAUGCGUUGAGCUAACCGGUACUAAUGAACCGUGAGGCUUAACCUU
rnacentral:rRNA from 1 species